rnacentral:rRNA from 1 species
UCCUACGGGAGGCAGCAGUGGGGAAUAUUGCCCAAUGGGGGAAACCCUGAUGCAGCGACGCCGCGUGAGUGAAGAAGUAAUUCGUUAUGUAAAGCUCUAUCAGCAGGGAAGAAAAUGACGGUACCUGAGUAAGAAGCCCAGGCUAACUACGUGCCAGCAGCCGCGGGAAUACGUAGGGGGCAAGCGUUAUACGGAUUUACUGGGUGUAAAGGGAGCGUAGACGGCAGUGCAAGUCUGGAGUGACAGGCGGGGGCUCAACCCCCGGACUGCUCUGGAACAUGUACGGCUGGAGUGCAG